rnacentral:rRNA from 1 species
GAUUAUAAUUUAAAGUCUAACCUGCCCAAUGAUAUUUAUUUAUUAAAUGGCCGCAAUAUUUUGAUUGUGCAAAGGUAGCAUAAUAAUUAGUUUUUUAAUUGAGAACUGGUAUGAAUGGUUGGACGAGAAAAAAUCUGUCUCAAUUUAAUUUUAAUUAGAAUUUUAUUUUUAAGUUAAAAAGCUUAAAUAAUUUUAAAAGACGAGAAGACCCUAUAGAGUUUUAUAAAAUAUUAUAUUUUUAAUAAUUUUAGUAUUUUAUCAAUUAAUUAUAAAUUUUUUAUUUGAUUGGGGUGAUUAAAAAAUUUAAAUAACUUUUUUUAAAAUAUUAACAUUUAUAUAUGAAUAAUUGAUCCAUAUUUAUUAUGAUUAAAAGAUUAAAUUACCUUAGGGAUAACAGCGUAAUUUUUUUUGAGAGUUCUUAUCGAAAAA